rnacentral:rRNA from 1 species
UACGUAGGGUGCAAGCGUUGUCCGGAAUUAUUGGGCGUAAAGAGCUCGUAGGCGGUUCGUCGCGUCGGCUGUGAAAACCUGAGGCUCAACCUCAGGCCUGCAGUCGAUACGGGCAGACUAGAGGCAGGUAGGGGAGAACGGAAUUCCCGGUGUAGCGGUCGAAAUGCGCAGAGUAUCGGGAGGAACACCGGUGGCGAAGGCGGUUCUCGG